AGUGAGGAAGGAAAACUGUCUACCUCUCAAGAUGCUGCUUGUAAAGAUGUGGCGGAGAGCCUGGAGACGGCAGAGGGGAAGUCUGCAGCCCCCCGGCCCCCCAGCAGCAGCCCAGAGCAGAGGACUGAGCAGUCGAGCAUGCCGGGCGAUGCGGCGGUUAACGGCCCCGUAUGAUGAGCGAGCUCCGCUGCUGCUGCUGCUGCUGCUGACCGGGGACCGCAGGCUCCACCGUGCGGGGUCCGGGGCUGCGUCGGGAGCCCGCCGAGCCACCGCUGCUGCACUCACUCUGCAAGGGAUCAGGACCAGCAACCUUUAUAUUCUAGAGUCUAAGACGUUGUACAGAGAAACCCAGAAGUGUACAAAUAUUGCACAUUGACAAAUACCAAGAAUUUUUGCGUAUGUUUAUAUUGUAUUGUUCUAAAUAAUGGGUAGCCUGUGAAAUAAGAUCUUGCCACCCAUGUAAUAAUAGUAGUAAUACUAUAGUUAAAAUGGCUGUAAGAAUAGUUUUAUAAAAGUGAAUACACAGAUCUAUUGUAUUUGAAACAUAACUAUUUGACAAUUAUUAGUGUGACCAAAGUAUUAGGCAGUUUUCAUACAUUUUUCACCUUGUACAAAGUUCUGAAUUCAUUUUUCUUCCAGGUUGGCGAGGAGUUAUAGGAUUGAGAUGCCCUCUAAGUGUUAUUUUGGUUGUUCUAACUUACAAAAGUGAUUUUGAAUAAGAAAUACUUGGUGUUCUUUUUAUAACCAGUUUUUGAUUGGUAACUGUUUUCUGUAUUGUUUAAAGCGGAUCAAAAAAUGUAAGUCUAUUGGUAGAGAUUAAGUAUUUAUUGCUACAACUUAGUUGAUAAAUUGAUGUUAUUGUAAAGCCAUAUGUUCUGUUAAAGUCUUGUUUGCUUGAACUGAUUAUCCCUACAGGUGAAACACUAGAAUAUUUGGAGUGUACAUGGCUUGUGGUUUGGGUUUGUUUUUGUUUUUGUUUUUUGUUUUGUUUUGGUUGUUCAUCUGCCUUCUAACCCAUUCACCAAAAUUUACCUUGUUAACAAGCAACACCAAUGAAAGUUUCAGAGCAAUCUGCGUAUCUCACAUACCUAAAUCAUAUUAGGCAAGUCAGUGGAAAAAUGCUCGUGCUGCUAAUGGAAUUAGAGUGCGUUCAUUUUACAGGCUAGUAUUUUUAAACUAGAAAUCGAAAUCCGGCACCUAAGCAUGUUAAUUGUUUUACUGUACCUUGUGAGGUUUUCACUCGUAAAUUCUAAACCAGUGUAUUUUUUUUAAGAACUGGUUUGUGUACAUAUAUAGUGAUUAUGGAUACUAAUUCAGUGUAAUUUAUAAUUUUCUAUGUCAGUAUAAAAAUACAUCACAGCCUCUCAGACAGCUGAAGCAAUAUGUCGUGUAUCGUGUAUUUGCCGCAUCGUCUGGUGAGAGGGUUCAAUUACUUCACCUCCUGCACUUUUAGAUGCAAAUCAGCUUUUCAUUUCUGUAAUAGAAAAUUAUUCACCUAUUUUUACAUCAUUUGUUUUUCCUGACCAGUAUUUAAAACCAAAAGGAUAUUCUGAAAAAUGGCCAACGAUUUUUUUUAGAAAUAGCAUCCCAAGCAGCGUGCCUAAACAUUACAUUGCAUAUGGAAAUAAAAAAAUCAAAUGUCUAA